GCCUCGGUGGUGUGGUGGCAGUACGCGUCCCAGGUAUGGAUGAAAAGCGGGUUCGAUUCACGUCUGAGGUU